ACGGGUUGAAGCGUUUUUCAGCUUUCCUUUAUUGUAUAGAAUAUAUCCCAGUAUGGUCAGCUGUUUGGUAUUGCAGUUGACAAAUGGAAAGACAGAUGCAAGAGAAGACAAUAUAUAAUUCAGGACCACGCAAUUUGGUUAGAGAGAGUACUACAUAAAAAGAUUAUUAUGUGGUGGUCCAAACUUUGAUGCUUUCACAUACACAUGAAUGAUGAUUUCCUAUAAAUAGAGACCCAAAGGCGUAGUUUUUUCUCAUCAUCAUCCUUUCGGAUAAGGAAAUAUAUUUUUGAGAGAAGAGAGAUCUAUCAUGAGGAUAAGAGUCUUUGUUUGGUAGCCAAGGAUGACUUGCCUGCUCCUCCAAGCGGCUUCAAGAUAUAAUUAGCAGUUCCUCGUGUGUUUGGAUCCCUAGAAACUCUUUCUGUGAUUCGUAGGCAGUCUCCUUGGCUAAUCUUACAGUCUCUUCAUUCUCAUGCCAGGUCUUCUCUUCUUCGAACUGCAACGUCUGAUCAUCCCUCAUCAUGAACACUGCUAUAUAUAUUUAUUUUUGCAUGCAUGAUUCGAUCGUACGAGUGAAGAUUUAUGAACAUUCGAUAUCUUCUUUCUCUUCUUGUUUCUUUAUAUCAAUUGCUGAUGGAUCGAGCCAAUAUUGUAAUUUUCUCUGCAUGGCUCUUAUCCUCAUGAACUUCACGAGGUCUCGAUCCUGCAGCUUGUACUUUAUUUUAUAUCGUUUUUCUUGCUCUAUAUGCAUGGCUCCAUCUUUAAACCGCACGAUACUUUCUGUGGGAUUGAGAUUGAUCAAAAAAAGAAAGCCCAUUACACUAUUCGGCUAUUCCAACUAGUUAUAUGGUUUAAGAUUUGUCAAUACACAGUAUCUAACCACCCAUGUUCUGCAGUGAAUUAAAGAGUAUUGGAAGUUAGCAACUAUUCGAGUUUUGAAAACGAAACCAUUUCAAAGAUCUGAAAGUAAUGGUGAUUAGAGCUCCACAGUAUGAUGAACAUGGAAAAGGAUUCCAGGCUUGUUUACCAGAAUCGUUAGCAAUUAACGCAGAAGAUUAUACAUUUUGGCAGAAAAAAGUGUUAGGACGAGAGAGCGAAAUGGAGUCAUCUGAUCUUUACUUUUCCUGCAUCGCUAAUAUAUAUGUUUAUCAUAAUUAUGAUUAUUUUUAGCUCAAGUUCUUUAGUUUUCAUCUAAACUUGUCAAUGUUAACGUACGCAAUGAUCGAUGGCACUUGAAAAGUA